AAAAAAAAAAAAACUUUGAGGAACAAACUGAAAAACAAAAUAUAGUGCAAGGGUCAAUUUAUGAAAAUCCAUUAACCUAUGCACAGAGGACGCCCUCGCUGGCUUGGCCAUGACGGCUACUCAGUUACAACUUGCAAGUAAUUUUUAUUAUUUUUAACAAAACGACAAGUCGUUUUGAGUUGCGGUUCCUAUUAUCAACUGAAUGCUGUUCUAGUAAAAUUUUUCUCAGGAAACAAACACUACUUUUUCCCCCGCCAUCUCUACCCCUUUACGCAGCCCUCCCUCUCACUAUAUAGUGUGAAAGAAAGCUCAAUGAACUCACCAAAUGAAACCCCUGAUCAAUUCUCCCAAUUCCCCCUUCCGCAUUUCACUCUCACUCCACCUUUACCAAACCCUAACCCUAAUUUCCCUCCAACCCCAAACUCAACUCCCCCAAACUCAACUCCAACACUAACCCCAGUCCUCGAUUCUAACACCAAUGCUACACCUUCUCUCGAUGACCAACUUCUACCCUUCCCAGUUCCCAAAAAGCGACGACGCGGCAGGCCCCGACGCACUGCCUCAACGUCAUCGUUUCAACUCCUUACCUUCCCCAAUGAUUCAUUCAACCCCAAUGUUCCAUACUCUGACCCUAACCCUUAUUCGAUUCCCUCAUCAGUAGCGGCGUCGACACAAACUUCACAACCCAAAAUUGCCGACGAGAUCAUUGUUAUCAAUAAAGAAUCGACGGCUGAGGCUCUCACCGCUCUUUCCGCUGGAUUCCCUGCUGAUUCUCUCACUGAGGAAGAAAUUGACUUCGGCGUAGUUUCCUCUGUUGGUGGCAUCGAGCAGGUAAAUUACAUUCUUAUUCGAAAUCACAUUAUUGCGAAAUGGCGUGAAAAUAUAUUCAAUUGGGUGACUAAAGAAAUGUUUGUUGAUUCUAUACCACAACAUUGUCGUACGCUCUUAGAUUCUGCUUAUGAUUAUUUGGUUACUCAUGGAUAUAUAAAUUUUGGGGUUGCCCCAGCAAUCAAGGACAAAGUUCCUGUCGGUCUUAGUAAAGGUAAUGUGGUUAUCAUUGGUGCUGGAUUGGCGGGGCUGGCUGCGGCUAGACAGCUAAUGAGGUUCGGAUUUAAGGUGACGGUUUUGGAAGGGAGGAAGAGAGCAGGUGGGAGGGUUUAUACAAAGAAGAUGGAAGGAGGGAAUAGGGUAAGUGCAGCUGCGGAUUUAGGUGGGAGUGUAUUAACAGGUACAUUGGGGAAUCCAUUAGGGAUCAUGGCAAAACAAUUGGGUGCUUCGCUUUUUAAGGUGAGGGAUAAGUGUCCACUUUAUCGGAUGGAUGGGAGUCCAGUGGAUCCAGAUAUGGAUAUGAAGGUGGAGACGGCUUUUAAUCGGCUUUUGGAUAAGGCUAGUAAGCUUAGGCAGUUAAUGGGGGAGGUUUCCAUGGAUGUUUCACUUGGGGCAGCAUUAGAGACGUUUAGACAGGUUUAUAGAGAUGCAGUAACUGAAGAGGAGAUUAAUCUGUUCAAUUGGCAUCUUGCAAAUUUAGAAUAUGCAAAUGCAGGAUUGGUUUCAAAGCUUUCACUUGCAUUUUGGGACCAAGAUGAUCCAUAUGACAUGGGAGGGGAUCAUUGUUUCUUGCCUGGAGGGAAUGGAAGGUUGAUUCAGGCUCUAGCAGAGAAUGUGCCUAUUUUAUAUGAGAAGACUGUGCAUACUAUUAGGUAUGGAAGUGAUGGAGUGCAGGUUACGGCAGGAAAUCAGGUGUUUGAAGGUGAUAUGGCACUAUGUACUGUUCCUCUUGGAGUUUUAAAGAGUGGGUCAAUAAAGUUUGUUCCUGAGUUGCCUCAGAGGAAACUUGAUGGGAUAAAGAGGUUGGGAUUUGGGUUGUUGAAUAAGGUCGCUAUGCUUUUCCCUUAUGUAUUUUGGGGUACAGAUCUUGAUACCUUUGGGCAUCUUACCGAAGAUCCAAGUCGCCGAGGGGAGUUUUUUCUAUUUUAUAGCUAUGCAACAGUUGCUGGUGGUCCUCUCUUGCUUGCUUUAGUAGCAGGAGAAGCUGCACAUAGGUUUGAGACUCUGCCUCCUACAGAUGCAGUAACCCAAGUUCUCCAAAUUCUCAAGGGUAAUCAAUUUUGAUUUCAUGUGUUGAAUUAUUUAUUUGUUGCAGCUUCUUUUUUUCCUGUAAGCUUGAAAUAUAUCCUGUAGUCUGAAAUACCGAAAGACAGUCAUUAGCUGCAAAACGUAUAUUAAUGUUGCGGUGCAUUCUUAGCUUCUUUAUGUACUGGUUGCUCAUAUGGCUUAAAUUCAUGGCAGCUUCUUUGAAUAUUUGAAUAACCCCUAGCACUUUGUCAUUUAUUUUAUUUGAAUGUGCUACAAAGAAAGCAUCAACAUUUGAUACAUUUUUAAAAGAAAUUUUAUAUGUCUUGGUUGCUUGUGUGGUUCAUUUUAAUUGCAAUAUGCAACUUUCUUGGGUUUCUCAUUGUCUUAUGUGCAUAUUCUACAAAGAAAGGGCGAAGUCUCCUGUGGAUUUGAACCAGCACCGAUUGUAUCUUGUGUCCAAAAAUUUAAUUGUUCUCGGUUAUGUGAGUAUUCUGAGACUGUGUUUAAUUGUCUGCAGGUAUAUAUGAACCGCAAGGAAUCACUGUCCCUGAACCCCUCCAAACCGUCUGUACUAGAUGGGGUGGUGAUCCCUUUAGCCUAGGUUCAUACUCUAAUGUUGCUGUGGGAGCAUCUGGAGAUGACUAUGACAUAUUAGCAGAAAGUGUGGGGGAUGGAAGACUUUUCUUUGCUGGGGAGGCCACUACACGUCGAUACCCUGCCACCAUGCAUGGAGCUUUUCUUACUGGGCUCAGGGAAGCUGCAAAUAUGGCUCAAUAUGCCAACGCUCGGACUGCAAAGAAAAAGAUAGACAGGAGUCCUUCAAAUAAUGUUCAUUCUUGUGCUUCCCUCCUUAUGGAUUUGUUCAGAGAACCUGAUUUGGAAUUCGGGAACUUUUCUGUUAUUUUUGGUCGAAAGAAUGCUGAUCCAAAGUCACCAGCAGUGUUGAGGAUAACAUUCAGCGAGCCCCGAAAGAAGAAUCAGGAAGGUUCAAAGACAGAUCAGCAACAUUCUAAUAAGGUGCUUUUUCAGCAGCUACAGUCACAUUUUAAUCAGCAGCAACAGCUACAUGUUUACACAUUGUUAUCUAAGCAACAGGCACUUGAGUUGAGAGAAGUGAGAGGUGGUGAUGAGAUGAGGUUGAACUACCUCUGUGAAAAUCUGGGAAUUAAGCUGGUGGGACGGAAGGGUUUGGGACCUAAUGCUGAUUCUGUCAUUGCAUCUAUAAAAGCACAGAGGGGUGUCCGGAAACCCUCAACAACUCCUGUGGUUCUAAAAUCUGGUGAGAAUCAUUGUUUAUUCUUUGAUUUAUAUUUCUCUCCAAAAUAUAAGAGCUUGAAAUAACAUUUAUAUGGUUUUGGUAAAGGGGCAUCGAAGAUGAAACCAGGCACUUUAAAGCAAAAAUUCAUUAGGUAAGAGCCGAAUUUUCAAUUCUUUCUUCAUAUGCUCAUUAAAGAUCUCUGUAUGAUCAAAUGAAGGACUAUUACCUGAUCCCCUCUGUUCUCCAUUUGUUAUUCUUAUUUUCACAGGAGGGCUAAAAUAGUCCGCAACACUAAAGGGUUGAUUCCAGCUCUGGUUCCGAAUGCAGCAAAUGGCAAUAUGCCAGAGGAAAUGAAAGUGAUAAAGCAGGCUCCUCCUGACUCCUCUGCUUCGGGUAUGUCUGAAGGCUUCUAGUUUCCUUAUUAGUCUCAUCUUCUGUGUUACAUUUCUAUUCCAUGCAGUUAAUUGUUCUCGUUAAGUUUUCUUUCUUUUUGUUGCUAUUUCGUUGUCAAAUCUCUUGAUUGUUCAAUUUCUGCCUUUGUUCCACCUUUCUGUAAUUCACAUGGUGUGUGUUUUUCUCUUUAUGAAAGUUGUUGGGGAAAUUUGCACGUGUUUAUUAUUGAUUUGAUUGUGAUGACAAAACCAAGAUGGUAACCUUGAUCCGAAUAUCCUUAUAUCAUCUGUCUGUCAAUGUAGAAUGGGUAAAUAUUUUCAAAUGGGAAAUCUGAAUAUAAGAAAGUUCCAUUUUGUUAGGGCAAAACCAAGGUGAGAUGUUGAAGCAAUGAGCUGGGUAUGUCGGUGUGUCCUUUUCUGAAGAUCUUGAGAGUUCUUGGUCAGUGACAUUGCCUAAGCCUGACUAUUCUGUUGUCCCCCCCCCCCCCAAAACCCCAAAAAAAACUAAAUGCGUAGAGCUUGCAUUAUUGCUGUUCCCAUCAUUGGUUAAACUCUCAGCUCAAUCGGUUUUACUGUGAAGUUGUCUUUUCCACUUGGCCUAUAUCCUCAAAGGUUAUAAAUGCUACAGUUUGCUAUACAUCAAGCGAGAACCUGUUUUUGGCAAUGGUUGGGAUGCAUUUAUCGAGUGUCAAGUUCCCCAUCAAAGACAUCUCUGCCACCUUCUGCAGCCCCAACUUGACUUCAGAANNNNNNNNNNNNNNNNNNNNNNNNNNNNNNNNNNNNNNNNNNNNNNNNNNNNNNNNNNNNNNNNNNNNNNNNNNNNNNNNNNNNNNNNNNNNNNNNNNNNAACAUUGUCAACAAAGCUUGUGAUCACAGUUUGGCUAUGAUGACAAACUGUUUAAUAUUCAUGAAGCCUGUUGCUACCAGAUCCGAGGGAGAAAUGUUCUGCUGUGGCUGAGGAUUUCCAGUAAGAUGCAGUGUGAGAAAAAGAACAGGCAAUGGUUCUUUUAUAGAGUUCACGAUUGACCUCACCCCAUCAAACAAACUGAGAAAAUCGACCCAAUAUCGCCAUUUACAAGAAUGGCUGAUGCUUACUAUACCCUCAAGUUGUAAGAGUUAAAAUUACAUUGGCCUCAACGUUACUUGGAUUUGGAUGGAAUAUUGAUGUGUUUUAACACGGUAUGUUCAACUGCUGCUUUCUAUACCCUCAAGGCUGGAAUUCUAGGAUCUCUGAUCAACGGUGACUUGUAAGAGUUAAAAUUACAUCAGCCUCAACGUUACUCGGAUUUGGAUGUAAUAUUGAUGUGUUUUAACACGGUAUGUUCAAUUUUCUUAAAUAUUUACUUGCAUUUGGGCAAAUAUCUAUUUAUGUAUAUCUUCUAGUCAAUACCUAAUUAUACAUCAGGAGGUAUAGGAAGUUUUGGGCAAAUAUGAGUAAAGAAUGAUGUACAUGAAUGUUGAAUAUUGAGAGAUUUUAUUUUAAGUUCAACUUCACUAUAAAUAUUUUUCUUUUAUUUGUGUUGGCUUUUAAUUCCUUAUAUAUGUUUUGUUUCAUUGCGUUCCCGCAAGAUUAGGGGCGCACGUCCAAGGGCGUGGUGCUCAUUUUUAAUUUGGGUUUUUUUUUAAUAAUAAAAAAGUAUGAAUAUCAAAAUUAUACAUUAAUUUCGAUGUGUAAUUUGAUGUAUGAAUUUUAAUCUAGUUUAUACGUAUGAAAUUUCAAUUUAGGUAUGAAGGUUUGAAUUUGUUUCUAUUUUAAUAAUCCGUUAUUAAAUUGAAAACGGUAAGUCUUUUUUUAACUCGUAUGAUUACAUAUUUAGUCUUCAAUAUUUAUACAUUCUGUCAAUUUAAUUCUAAUACUAAAUAAUUUAACAAGUUUAACUUUUUACAUUUAUAAGUUCUAUCAAUUUACUUCUUAAAUACAUCUUCAUCAUAAAGCGAAAUUAUAAAAAAACAACAAAAAAAAAAUUAAUUGGAAAUUGUUUGUAAUGUAUUGUUUUUGGUGAGAAAUUGUUGUUUUUUUCAUUUUUUUUAGCUGAGAAAAUUGGUAAUCUCUUUCACGUUGAAACGUAUCAAGAAAAUAAUUUUUUUUAUUAGAUUGAAAUCAUCUCAUGAAAUUGAGCUUGAAACAAUCAAAUCACAUUGGAAAACAAAGACUUCGAGAACCUCUCAAAAUUGAUUAAGUAAAAAGAGGAGAUUGUGCUUAUUUUUUCAUUAAAAAACCGAGAAUAAUAAUCUUUCAUUGUUAUUGUUUUUUUUAUCUCCAAUUUAUUAGCAACAAGAAAAAAGUGAUGAUGGGCGAUGUUUGAAAUUAGAAUGGUUGCUUCUAUCGAACAAAAUAAAUUUUUUUUUUUGUGUUCAUUUAAGGUGCCUUUGGAAGGGAGAGACGUUAAUUCCAUUUAUAUAGAUUAAGGAAGCGGUGGUGAAAGAAUGAUUGGCUUCGACCUAUCCCGCUGGAAAAACCUUUACCAUUGCCACAUUCUCACCAGGUUUAGAGGCUCGAAUUGUAAGAACAGUCCCGGCCUUUCUUUCUUCUUCUUCUGUUUUUGUUUGCUUUUUUUGAAUAAAGAAUAGGUUUGGUUUUGUUUUGCUCGUAAAAAUGUGAAGGAUGUUCAAGAAAUGUGCACACUCAAACGAGAAGUAAAGGUUGCAGUUGAAUAGGGAGUUGGGAUUGGCACCGAAGCAGAUCAAGUUUUGAUUUCAAAGUAAGACCCAAACGAAGGUGCUGUAUCAUCGCUGUAAUUAUGGCCUAUAGGGUUUUCUAUUUUUUUUUAUUCUUGUUCAUGCACAUUCUUUUUAAAUGAUAUUGUUCAGGCACAACAAGAAAGAGCUGGAUAAUUACACUCUUUUGAUUUUGAAAAGGAAUUACGAGCAAUAAGCUAAAAACAAUCAAUUGAAAAAAUAAUUUCCUAAUGUGCUUCAACAACAAUGACUAUCAAUUUAAUCCGGAAAAGGAAUGAAAAAAUAAAUAAAUUCUUUACACAAAAACAAUGACACCUUACCUAAUUAAAUUUUAUUUUUAUAAUUAUUUUAAAUUAGGAUCAAAUUAAUAGAAUAUGUAAGCAUUGAGCACUAAAUGUAUUAUUAUAAUUGUCUGUAGGUAUAUAAGAACUUCAAGGAAUCACUGUCCCUGAAUGCCUACAUGCUUGGCCUAUAUGGCUCCACAUAGCCUAGCACACGCCCGUGUGCCUGCCUGUGUGUCUCAUAUAGUUUGACACACGCUCAUUUCGUCGGUCCGUAUGGGUCUAAUUUGUAAAUAGUAAGUCACACGGCCUGGACACACGCCCAUGUCUCUAGCCUAUGUGGUCCCUAAUGGUGAACAGUGAGUCACACGGCCUGGACACACGCCAGUGUUUUUGGCCCGUGUGGUCCCUAAUAGCAAACAGUGAACCACACAGUCUGUAAUGACCCAAAAUUCACGGCAAUCAGAAAAGUGCAAUAUCGGGCCUCCAUCUUAGUGAAAUGGGUUUGUAAAUAAUUAUUAGAAAUAUUUAUGAGACUAGGGUAUAUGUAUAUAUAUAGUUGUACAUGUAUAAAAUGAGAACUUAGAAAGUUAGAGUUUUUAAAUGAAAAGUUUGGUACAUUAAUAUAAGUUUAGUUUUUUGGAAGUAGAAGAGAUAAUAGAAAUAUGAGACGUAGAAUAAAAUAGUAAUAUUUUUCAAUUAUGAAGAUCAGAAAAUGAAUUUUUUUAGAAAGAAGUAUAGAAAGAAAUAAAAACCUUAGUUAAAAAAAAAAAGAAAAAAUAGCAAAGUUGUAAAUUGUGUAAUAAAAGAGGCAAACUUUGAAAAGAAUAGUUACCUCGAAGAGACUGUUAGCAGCGGCCGAGCCAAUAUAUUUCUAAGAGGUUUGGAUUAGGAGUAAUAACUCUGAUCCAUAACUGGAAUAAUCAUUAUUUGCCUCAAAAAGAGAAAGGAAAUGAAAAUGAGAAAAUAAAAGUAUAACAAAGUAGAGCCUAAAAUAUAUAUAUAUAUAUUUAUAUAUAAUAUAAAAUAUAUAUAUAGGAUUGUAAGAAUAACUCCAAAGAUAAUCUACUAAAAAUUUUCGAUUCUUAUGGAAAGAAUAUUGCCAUUUAUAGUGAUGAUUAUUGAACGGUUUUAGUCAUGUUUUGAUGUAAGACUAGAAGUAAUUGCUUAUGCAUCUCGUCAGCUAAAAAUGUAUGAACGUAAUUAUCUGACACACGAUUUAGAAACUAGUUGUUGUGGUUUUUGCUCUAAAGAUUUUAAUACACUAUUUGUAUGAUGAAAAGUGUUAUAUUUAUACCGAUCAUAAAAGUCUCAAAAAUCUUCUAUCUCAAAAGGGAGUUGAAUUUAAGACAGCGUCGUUAGAUAGAGCUUUUGAAAAAUUUUGAUUGCGUUAUUAAUUAUUAAUCUGAUAAAGCUAAUGUUAUAGCUGAUGUAUUAAGUAGGAAAGCAGCAAUUGAAUUGCGAACAAUGUUUGCUUAGCUUAGUAUCAAUGACGAUAAAAGCUUAUUGGCUAGAUUAAAAAUCAAAUCAGUGAUGUUGAUCAGAUUAAGUCAGUGUAGAUAGAAAAUGACAAAUUGGUGAAGAAAAGAGAAAUGGUUCAGAAUGAUAUAUUAGAAAAUUUCAGCCUUGAUAAUUGUGGUUGCUUGAGAUUUCACAAUCGAAUUUGCGUUCUGGAUAUUUCUAAAUUGAAAAAGUUGAUACUUCACAAAGCUCAUAAUAGUCCUUUUGUUUUGCAUCCUAGAGGAAUGAAAAUAUAUUACGAUUUACAAAAAAAUUUAUUGGUGCUCAGGAGUAAAAAGAAUGCUAUUUGGGUGAUUGUUGAUAGCCUUGCGAAAUCAGUUCAUUCUGUAGUAAUCAGAACUGAUUGAUCACUUCAAAAAAGAAACUUGUUGAAGUUUAGAUUCGGGAAAUUAUAAGGGUGUGCAGUAUUCCUAUACAUUGAAUGAAAGAAAAAUGAUAAGGCUAGAAUUAAUCCAAGAAACGAAGGAAAUUGUUAAGAAGAUUCGAGAUAGACUAAAGGCAGCUUCAACGGAUAGAAAUCAUACACAGAUUUAAAACGCCAGGAUAUUGAGUAUUCUAUUGGUGACAAAAUAAUUUUAAAGUAUUGCUUUGGAAGAAAAUAUUGAGAUUAGGCUAAAAAAAAAAAAACUGAGUCCUCGUUUUAUUAAGUCGUAAGAAAUUAUAGGAAGAGUUGGGCCAAUUGCCUAUUGCUUAGUAUUGCCUUUGAAAUUACAAAAGAUUCAUGAUGUUUUUCAUGUUUUUAUGCUAUGGAGAUAUCAAUUAGAUCAUUCUCAUAUUAUUUCGACAGAGAAUAUUAGCUCAGAAGGUAAGGGAGUUACGAAAUAAACAUGUUUCCUUAGUGGAAGUGUUGUGAAGAAGUCAUAGUGUAGAAGAAGCAAUUUGGAAACUGGAAGAAAUUAAGAGAUCUCAGUACCCCAUCUCUUUUCAAGUAAAUUUCGAAGACGAAAUUUAUUAAGGGAGGAGAAAUGUAACGACCCAAAAUUCAAGGGCACCAGAAAAGUAACAUAUUGGGCCUCUGUCUUAGUAAAAUGGGUUUGUAAAUAAUUAUUAGAAAUAUUUAUGAGACUAGUGGUGUGCCUAAUUAGGUUCUAAUUAGGUGAAUUUAGCUAAAUUAAGAGUAAUUAGGAAAAAGGACUAAAGUGAAUAAAGAGUAAAAGUUGAAUUGUAGAUUAAAAGAAAAUAAAAAGGACCAAAAUGACAAAUAAGCCAUUUAGCAUAAGUUGAGGCAGCAAACAAAACAAAAAUCUUAUUAUGUUAAAUUAAAAGAUAUUUUUGUUUGUAAUAAAUAUAUAAAUAUUUUUAUAUAAUUAAAAGAUAUUUAUUAGAUAUUUUUGUUUGUUCGUAAUAUAAUUAUUACAAUUACACAAAUUUGAAAUUUGAAGCAGUUUCAUCUUUAAAUAUAAAUUUCAUUGCUUACUCUUUAAUAUAUGGAAAAUGAAUUUAAGUCUUGAAGCAUAAGGCAUGCUUCCUUUUACUUACCAAAACUAACAUUCUUUGUGUUACAGUGAAGCAAAGCACAAUCCUUUAAUUUUUUCUUUUUAAAUGUCUCUGUACCUUACUUCCUACCAUUUACUCUAAUUUAAUUAAUCCAUCAUAUGAAAUUAAUUCAUAAUUUUUUAAAAAAUAUAAAAUUUUUUUAAUAAAAUUUAAAAACUAUUAAAAUAAUUAAGUUAUUAAUAUAAAUAAUGACAUUUUUUUUUUACUAUUUUCAAGUUCGUUUUAUUGUUCAUGUUCUAGGCUCAUGAUUGUCUUUCUUAAUAAUGUGACCUUCAAGGUUCAAAUCUAUGUUCUUCGCUUAAGAGUGUAAUGUGUCUUAUGAUAGCACCCAACAGUUAUUGGUAUGAUAUACUUAAAUUACUAAUUGUAAUUCUAUACUAAAAAAAUAUUUAUUUUGGAUUUCAAUGAUUAGAUUUACAUUUUUAAAAAAUUGUUUUUUAUUAUUUAACUUACUAAAUUUAUAUAUUAAUCAUAUUUGGAUAAUUAUUAUUUUGGAUUCAAAUAGUAAUAUUUAGAUUUAAUUCAUUAAUAAACAAAUUAUGAAAUUUCAUAUUUGGAUUUUAGAACAAAAAUGGCAUAUAUGUGAUCUAUUAUCAUCUUUAUCCAAUAUAUAUAAUCAUCUUUAUUAAAAUCAUACAGUGGUGAUAAUAUCUCUUAAUUCUUCAUUUCUUCCUCUUUACAAUAUUUUUAGUUAUCACUCAUAGUCAUAAAAUCUAUUCAAGUUUUGUAGUCUUUCCUUUUAAUCAUAUGUCAACUUAACAUCUCUUGCACCAGCAUGCAAAGAAGAAACAUGAAAUAGAUUAGACAAAUGAGUAAAUUUUGUCAUGUUCUAGGUUCGUGACUGCCUCUCUCAAUAAUAUUGUCUUCAAGGUUCAAACCUACGUUCUUCGCUUGAGAAUGCAAUGUAUCUUAUCACUGCACCCUACACUUGUUAGUAUGAUACACUUAAACAACUAAUUGUAAUUCUAUACUAAAAACAAAUAUUAAUUUUAAGAAACAUAUUUAAAUUUGAAAUAUUCGAUAAUUUAUAUUAUUUUUUUAACUUACUAAAUUCAUAUAUUAACCAUAUAAACAAUAGAUGAAAUAGUAAUAUUUAGAUUUAAUUCAUUAAUUAAUAAACAAAUUAUGAAAUUUGAUAUUAGAAAUUUACAAAAAUGACAUGUAUGUUUUUAAAUUAUAAAAUCAUCUCUUAAUUCUUCAUUUCUUACUCUUUAGAAUAUUUAUGAUUAUCUACUUAAGUUUGGUAGUCCUCCCUUUUAAUUACCAAAACUAACAUUCUUUGUGCCCAUAAUACUUUAAUUUUUAUUUUUAUUAUUAAAGAGAUAAGCUUUGGAUACUUCAACAUCUUUAAUAAGUCACUUUGGCAUAUACCUUACUUGCUACAUUUAUAUAAUAUGAGCAUCAAAAUUCCUUUUGCCAUGAAUGCAUCAUUAUGUAAUCUUAAACCCAUAAACAAUCUAAUUUGCAAAUAAAAGAAAACAACAAAUUUUACUUUUAAUUUAAUUGUCUUUUCUUUCAUGAAAUUCCGUAUUUUUUUAAAAUCUAUAUUUUCAUUAAAUAUUUUCUUCUUUAAUCACAUUAAUCGUUAAACUCAAUUGAUGGAACAAUUAGAUAUAUAAGAAUAUAUAGAUAACAAUUUCGUAUGAUUGUGGAUUAUUAUCCAUGUAUUCAUUGCAUGAUUAAGUAAUUUUAGACUCAUAAAAACCAAAGUAAUUGCCUAAUUUGCAAGAAAAGAACAAAAUUUACUUUAAUAAAGAAAGCAAAGUAUUAUUAUUGUAGAAAUACUUUACUUUGUUAGGAAUUUUUUAUAACAUAUAAACUUUAAUUUUAAUUUAAUUGUCUUUUUUUUAAAGAAAAUUUAUGUUUUCGGAUCAAAUUCUUUUAGUAUAUCAUAUCUUUAAUGCAUUGAAAAUUUUAAAUGAUGAUGUAAAAAUUAAGGCUCAAGGGUCUUUAAAGUCCCUAAUUUUUUUUUAAAUAUCAAUUAAACCCUUAUACAUUUUUCUUUUUUGCAUUCAAUCAAGCUAUUGAACGUUAAAAUUUCAAUUUAUUAAACCAUUUAACCAUUCAAGUUAACGGUCAACCGUUUAAGAGUAACGGCAACUAUUUUUAGGGGUUGUCGCACACCAGAAUUUUGCCAUGCAAUGAAAUAUGAUAUUUUAUAAUAAAAAUCAUAAAAAUAUAAAAAUAAUUGAAAUAUAUACAAAUUAAAAAUAUUAUAAAUGAUAUAUAAAUUAUUAAAAUUAUAAAAAAUUGCAAAAAAAAACAUUAAUAAGUUUUAGAAUAAAAAUAUAUAUUACAAAAAAUAAAAAUUUUAAAAUUAUGAAAAAAUAUUUAAAAAUAUGGAAAAUUAUUAAAGUUGUUAAUGAAAGUUACAAAAUAUUAUAAAAAGCAAAAAAAAAAUUGUUAAUAAAAUAUUUAAAAUAAUUAAGUUGUUAUUAUAAAUAAUGACAUUUUUUUACUAUUUUUCAAAUUCGUUUUAUCAUUCAUGUUGUGGGUUUAUGAUUGUCUCUAUCAAUAAUAUUGUCCUCAAAGUUCAAACCUAGCUACGUUCUUCGCUUAAGAGUGCAAUAUAUCUUAUCACUGCACCCAACACUUGUUGGUAUGAUAUACUUUGACUACUAAUUGUAAAUCUAUACUAAAAAAUUAUUUAGUUUAGGAAACAUAUUUGGAUUUGAAUUAUUUGAUUUACAUUUAAAUUUUUUUAACUUACUAGAGAUUCAUAUAUUAACCAUAUUUGGAUAACCAGUAUAUAAUUAUUUAUUUUGGAUUCAAAUAGAAUGAUUCGAUUUACAUUUAACUUACUACGUGGAUAAUUAUUUAUUUUGGAUUAAAAGAGUAAUAUUUAGAGUAAUAAAAAAAAUUGAAUUUUGAAAAAUCAUCAGUCGUAACUAUUUAAGUUUGCUUCCUUCUUAAUUAGCAAAAGUAAAAUAGUUUCUUACAAAAUUAAAAAAAGGAAUGAUAUGAAAGAGAAGAAAGUUGGCAUCUUUUCUUUUUUAUUAAAUAUGAAUUGCAAUGCCUUCCACCUAGACUUGUCCAUGGGCCGGGCGGCCUGGCCCGGCCCGAUGGCCCGUCCGAAAUAUGGGAGGGUUUGGGUAAAAAUAUAGGCCUGAAAUAUGGGCUUGGGCAAAAAAUGAGGCCCAUUUAAAAAAUGGGCCGGGCUCGGGCUCAACUUUUUUGGCCCGGACCCGGCCCUGCCCGGCCUGAAUAUAAUAAAUAUAUAUUUUUUAUUUUUAUUUUGUAAUUUUAAAAUACUUUUAAAAUGUUUUUUUUUUAAAUAUUUUUUUGUGUUUAUUAAAAACCGGGCCGGGCCGGGCCAAAUUUUAGGCCCAUAUUUCGGGCCGGGUCGGGCCAGCCUGGGCCUAAGAGUCGGGUCAAAAUUUUUUUUGGGCCCGGCCCGAACCUAGCCCGGCCCGGCCCAUGGACAAGUCUACUUCCACCAUCUUCACCCUUCUUUUCUUUCUUUUCUUCCUACCUCUUUCUACCCAUCUCUUUUUCUCUCUUUCCUUUCUUCAUCCUCUGCCUUUCUUUCAUUCCUAUCAUCUCCUUCAUCUCUUUCAUUUCUCACAACCACACUAAUUAAUGGAGAUGAAGAACGAGAAUGAGAAUGAGAGUCACGACGAGUCGGUGCAACAGAUUCAACAUCCUUUUCAUAAGGAACAUCCCUUGGUGUUAGUGGCAGAGCAAAGCAAUAAAGGUCUCAAAGCUCACUGCCAUGGAUGUGGGGAACUGCUUUCAGCUCCAUGCUUCACUUGUAUUCAUUGCAAUUAUCACCUUCACAAGCAAUGUGCAGAGGCACCCAUUAAAAUUCAUAAUCACCCACUCCAUCCUAAGCACUCAGGCAUAGGUCUUUUUCUUCGACAAAGGCCAAUUUCUUCUAGCAGGGUAUAUGGUUGUGCAUUAUGCAAGGAAAAACGUAACAUGUUUUUUUUAUGAAUGUGAUUGGUGUUAUUUUUCCAUUGACAUCAAAUGUGCUCAAUUAUCCUCUUCAUUUAAGUUUAGCCAACUGUCCAAACAUGACAUCCACCAACAUCCAUUGACCUUCAUAGAAAGUCCCAUGGCCAUAGAUGUACUCAAAAGAUUGAACUGCUGCUGGUGUCAUGAACCAUUGACAGAUGCUAUAUUUUUUUGUUUCGAUUGUCCAUCAUUCAUCAUUCACAAGAAAUGCCUUGAUGAGUUACCCACUGAAAUUGAUCACCCUACACAUCGCUUACACCCUCUUAUUCUUAACCGUAGUAAUAGUGAUUACUUGUGCAACCUAUGCCAAAAGCAACAAUCCGGACCUUUUUACAGUUGUUCUCUUUGCCAUUUUAACAUCAAUGUUGAAUGUGCUUGGCCGAGGUCUACUGUUGAAGAUAAAAGCUGCCAUCAGCACCUAUUCUCCUUACUUUGGAGACAAGGUUCAUUCAUUUGUGAUGCAUGUGGCACUGAGGGAAAUUAUAUUUCUUGUAUAUGUUUGAAAUGUUGCAUCGAAGUCCACAAGAAAUGCACUUCACUCCCACACAUUAUCAAAUUUUCUCGACAUGAUCAUUGCAUUUUUCACAAAUAUUUUCUUCAAACACAAGAGCUUACAAAGCAAGAUUGCAAGAUUUGUUUCAAUGAAGUGAGACUAGAGCGUGGGAGUUACUCUUGUGUAAAACAAGGUUGCAAUUACGUUGUCCAUGUGAAUUGUGUCUUAGAGGAUGAAGAGUUGUACGAGUUAAUUGAGGACGAAAAGCAAUGUGAGGAGCUUGAAGAAAAAUCUAUGCAGUCUUCCAUCAUUCGUGUUAUUGAGGUGAAUGAAGCUGGGGAAGCUACAAAGAUUCAACAUUUCAGUCAUCAACAUUGCUUGGUGUUAGCAGACAAGAUGGAGGAGGAAAUUGAUAGAAAAUUUGAUGGGUGCAUGCUACCUAUCUCAAAUAUUUUCUAUUAUUGUUCAGAAUGCCCCUUUUUUCUUCAUAAAACCUGUGCUGAAUUGCCAAGAAUCAAGCAACAUUGGUUUCAUCAAAGCAAUGCCACCCUCAAUUUCGACAGCUUCAAGAAAUGUAACUUUUGCAGUCAAUAUUCUAGUGGUUUCUUCUAUAGAAUUAGAUAAUAUAUGUACAUGUGCACAAGGUGUGCUAAAGUUGCUGAUAUCAUUGAAUGUGAAGGACACCAACACUUUCUCUUUUUUGAUUUCAAAUACAAGGAGAAAUGUAAUGGUUGUGGCAUCAGGUGUUGGCGUGGUGCAUUCAGAUGUGGAAAGUGCAGAUUUGCUUUGGAUUUUGGAUGCUUAACAUUACCACAUUCAGCUCUUCAAAAAAUUGAUGAACACAAGCUAAAGCUUACUUAUCAUGAUGAUAAUGAGCAAAGUUAUUGUGAUAUUUGUGAGCAAUAUAGAGAUCCAAGGCUUUGGUAUUAUUCUUGUUCAAUCUGUGAUACUUCUGCUCAUCCCGAAUGUGUUCUUGGACAAUUUCCAUUUCUCAAGGAUGGGAGCACAAUUGCUUUUUAUAAACACAGCCAUGGUCACCAUCUUAAAUUUUUUAGGAAGGUUGAGGGCUUCCCUAAAUGUUCUAAGUGUAGUAAGUUUUGCCAAGAAGAAAUUUUCAAAUGUAAAGAGUCUACAUGCGAUUAUAUUGUCCAUUGCAAAUGUCUGGAUUUCUACGUUUAAAGCUUUGUGGUAAGUACUUUAGAUGAUUAAAGAGCUAUUGUUUUCUUUUAAAUCAUCAAUGCAAUUAAUUGUUUUUAUUUCAUGAUUUUUUUUUCAUUAUUAACAUCAGUUUUAAUUGUCUUCAUGGCUACAGAUGUGUUUUGCUCAAAUGGAAAGCACUAGAGGUUUUAUCCGAUCCAAAGAGUUCGCAAAGGAUUUGACAUUUCAUUCCUACUUCUUCGAUGAAGGAUGUUCUAAGUGUGUUUUGAUUUAAGUGUUGCUUUGUUUAAAAUUUGUUUGAGUUUAUAUGAUUUGAACUCACUAUUACUUUGUUAUUCAUCUAUGAUAUAUUUGAGUUUGUAAAAUUUGAUUUCAGUAUUAUGUUGUGAUUUAUUGGAUUUGAAUUUUGAAAAUCAAUAAUUAUUUGAUUUAUUUCUGCAAUGUUAAUUAAUUAUUUUACCCCAUAUAUAAUGAAACUUUUGGAAGCCACCAAAUUCGCUUCAUGCUACAUGCUUUUCUACUGCACCUUGUUUAUUUGACAAGUAUAAUUAUAUGAAGUUUUGAAUACAAUAAUAUAAAAAGAAGUUACGGGAAUUAAUUAUGUAAAUAUAAAGCUGAAUUGAGUUCAAUCUCAACUAUAAAUAAAGUUAAUUUCUGCUUCAAUUAGACAUCUUAAUUUCAAAAAUAUAAAUAAAAUGCACAUUCAGAACCAUUUGAAAAUUAUAGAGUUAAUUCCAAUAUCCGGUACCUUCACCAUAAUCAGGUUGAAAAUUUUAAAUAAACAACUAAAAUAACUUUUUUAUAAAGUUCAUGAGCUUGAUGGCAGCAUAGAAAUUGAGGAUACAGUACCACUUUUUAAGUAAAUAAAAGUUCAAACAAAGAACUUUUAUGUUCUUGUCUCACUCAACACCAUCACCUUAACCAAAAUAAGCACCCAAAAAACUUUUAUGUUCUACAAUAAAUAUAACGUCUCACGUCGAAAUAUUUUGGACAGAUUGACAAACUUGAGGGGCAUUUUAGCAAUUAUUUUUAAAGGUUGUUUUUCGCCACGUGGCAUACGAGGAUUGUGAUAUGGAGCAAAAUAUAAUAUUUUAUAUUAAAAAUAAUACAAAUAUAAAAAUAAUACAAAUAUAUACAAAUUUAAAAUAUUAUAAAUUUAUAAAAAUAUAUAAAAGGACAAAAAAUAUAAAACAUAUUAUAAAUGAAAUAAAAUAUAUAAAUUUUUAGAAAUUGCCAAAAAACAUUAAUAAUUAUUAAAAUAAAAAAAGUAUAUGUAAAUUACAAAAAAAAUUUUAAAAUUAUGAAAAAUAUAGAAAAUUAUCUAAUUUGCAAAUAAAAGAAAAGAACAAUUUUUACUUUUUAUUUAAUUGUCUUUUCUUUCAUAAAACUUCGUGUUUUUUUUAAUUGAUAUGUUUUCGGAUCAACUUCUUUAAGUAUAUUGUACGCUUGAUACAUUAAAAUUUUUUAACUAUGAUAUAAAAGCACAAAAAAAUAAUAUAAAAACAUAUUAUAAAUGAAAUAAAAUAUUAAAAAUUGCCAAAAAAUAUUAAUAAUUAUUAAAAUAACAAAAAGUAUUUGUAAAUUACAAAAAAAUAUUAUAAAAUUAUAAAAUUAUAAAAAAAUAUUAAUUAUAAAAUUAUAAAAAAAUAUUUAAAAGUAUAGAAAAUUAUUAAAAUUGUUAAUAAAAUUUAGAAAACAUUAUAAAAAGCAUAAAGUUGUUAAUAAAAUAUUUAAAAUAAUUAGGUUAGUAUCAUAAAUAAUGACACUUUUUUUUAACUAUUUUUCAAGUUUGUUUUAUUAUUCAUGUUCUAGGUUCAUGACUGCCUCUCUCUCAAUAAUAUUGUCUUCAAGGUUUAAACCUACGUUCUUCGCUUAAGAAUGCAAUAUGCAAUUGUUUUUGGCUUAUCAAUUUAAUUGGUUUCGUUAGAAAAAAAUCAAUUAAAUAUUUUCUUCUUUAAUCACAUUAAUCGUUAAACUCAAUUGAUGGACCAAUUAGAUAUAUAAGAAUAUAUAGAUAACAAUUUUCUGAUGUCCAUGUAUUCAUGUCAUGAUUAAGACCUAUCCAAAGUAAUUGCCUAAUUUGCAAAAAAAAGAACCAAAUUUACUUUAAUAAAGAAAGCAAAGAAUUAUUCUUGUAGAAAUGCUUUACUUUGUUCGGAAUUUUUUAUGACAUAUAAACUUUACUUUUAAUUUUAUUGCCUUUUCUUUUAAGAAAAUUUAUAUUUUCGAAUCAAAUUCUUUGAGUAUAGCAUAUGCAUUGUAAUUUUUUAAAUAUGAUGUAAAAACUAAGGCUAAAGAGUCUUUAAAGUCCCUGAAGUUUUUCCAAAAAAAAAAACCAAUUAAGCCCUAUAUAUAUAUAUAUAUAUAUAUAUAUAUAUAUAUAUAUAUAUUUUGCAUUCAAUCGAGCUAUUGAACUUUAAAAUAUUUAAAAAUAUAGAAAUUAUUAAAAUUGUUAAUAAAAUUUACAAAAUAUUAUAUAAAGCAUAAAAUUAUUAAUAAAAUAAUUAAGUUAUUAUUAUAAAUAAUGACAUUUUUUAUACUAUUUUUCAAGUUUGUUUUAUCGUUUGUUAUUAAUAAAAUUUACAAAAUAUUAUAAACUAAAUUGAAAUUUGGAAAAGAAGAAGAAGAAAUCAUGAGUGGUAACUAUUUCUUAAUUAGCAAAACUAAAAUAGUUUGUUACAAUAUUAAAAAAUGAUUGAUAUGAAAGAGACUUUCAAUUAACCAAACCACAACGCUUUAUUAAAUAUGAAUUGCAAUGCCUUCAACCAUCUACACCAUUCUUUUCUUUCUUUACUUCCUACCACUUUAUACCCAUCUCUUUUUCACUCUUUCCUUUCUUCUUUCUUUUCUUCAUCCUCUGCCUUUCUUUCAUUCCUAUCAUCUCUUUCAUCUUUUUCAUUUCUCACAACCACACUAAUUAAUCGAGAUGAAGAACGAGAAUAAGAGCGCGAGUCACCACAAGUCGGUGCAACAAAUUCAGCAUCCUUUUCAUCGGCAACAUCUCUUGGUGUUAGUGGCAGAGCAAAGCAAUGAAGGUCUCAAAGCCCACUGCGAUGGAUGUGGGGAACUGCUUUCAGCCCCAUGCUUCACUUGUAUUCAUUGCAAUUAUCACCUUCACAAGCAAUGUGCAGAGGCACCCCUUGAGAUUCCUGAUCACCCUCUCCAUCCCAAGUGUUGCAGGCCAUUUUGCCCGGGGCCCAAUAAACUCAAAAUAAAAGCCCAAAUUACAGUCCAUAAAGCCCAAUACAACACAACCCAAACAAAUAGCCCAAUAACCCGAUACCCAACCACUUACUUAAAACAGACCUAACCCAGCAGAACCAGCCCAAUAACCAAAACCCUAACAGCCCACUAGACCCAAAACAAGGAAAAUCUAGCAGAAAGCAGAAGAACCCUAGGCGCCGCUCCUAGGGUCUUCUGACCUUUGGUCUUCUGCCCACCUGCUCUGCCAGCAACCACCGCCAACUGCCACUGUCACCUCCACCCACGUGCGCCCAUGCCUGCAAUGACAGAAAGGAAGCAUUAGCAUGGAAAAUAGACUAAAAAAAUCCAUGUAAAUCGGCUAUAAAGCCACUAAAAAUCUUUGUAAAAAGGGUUCGAUUUUUUUUAAGCAAUAUUGAAGUAAUAGAAAGAAAAAAUCAGUUUAAAGGUGAUAUUUUAGUCUCUUUUUCUUCUUUUCGAUUCGCAUUUUUUUUGUUGUUAAUAAGUUUAGAAAAUAAUAAAAAGAAACAUACCUGAACGCCGAGUUUGGGGACAUCGCCGGAGUCCUUCAGGUCACCGAAAAUGGACAAGGAUGGCAGCCCUUGUUUUUUUUUCAUUGGCUUCAGGGGUAGGAAAACCAGAUCUAUAAAUGGCUUCUGAAACAGGGCUAAAAAUCGACCUUUCGCCUUCUGACCGCCGCCUAAGGCGGCGCCGGCGCCGGUCGGCGCGGUGGCUUGCGGUCGAGCCCCUUGGCCGGAAAGGAGGGGGUUGGGGAGAGGUUUUGGAGCUUUUUUUUUGUUUUAAACAGCAAAGAAUGAAAAAAAUCAAAGAAAAUGAACUUAAAUAGACCCCUUAAACGGCGUCGUUUUGGACUGGCCUCCAUAGUCUCAAAACGGCGUCGUUUUGACUGGAUCAAGUCGACCCGACCCGUGCCGCCUGGGAUCCGCGUGUUUUUGGACCAGAGGGUUAAUUUGCACCCUCAGUCCUCCCGCUUUUGAGGCCGUUUUCAAUCGGGUCCUAUUCCCUUUCAUUAUUUGUUUUAAUUUCGCCCUAAAUUUCAAUAUUUCUUGCAAUUUGGUCCAUAGACCGUCUGCACAAGCGUUAUUAGAAUGACGCCGUUUGGUCAACGUGGGAAUAUUUCCCUUUUGAUCCUCCUCCUUUUGCGCGUGUUUGGAUUCAAUUUUUUUUUUGUUUCCUUAUUUUCUUUUUUCAAAUCCGCCCCAUAUUUUUCAUUUUAAUCCAAUUUGGCCUUUUUUUAUUUUAUUUAUUAUUUUGGUUAUCUUCUUAUUAAAAUUAAUAAAGUUGACGUUAUUAUUAUUAUUAUUAUUAUUAUUAUUAUUAUUAUUAUUAUUAUUAUCAUCAUUUAUCAUCUUUACUAUUAUUAUUAAUAUUAAAGUUAUUAUUAUUAUCAUUACAUUUAUAUUUAUAUUUACUUUUGUAUUUUUAAAUAUAUGUGCUGUAUUAUGUUAUUAUUAUAUAAGUGUUUCAUAUAUAGUUUAUUUAAUAUAUAUUAAAUACUUUUUAUGUGUAUAUCUAUAUGCUCUUUUUUCUCAUGAAUAUAUGUAUACAUAUUCAUAUAUAUUUGUAUUUUAUUUUAUUUUAAUAAUUUCAAAAUAUACAUAUACAUGAUUUUCAUAUUUUUGUAAAUUUAUUUGUGUAUACAUGUUUUUAUAACAUACAUACUUAUAUAGUAUAUAUAUAUUUUGGCAUUUUAUAAUCUAUAUACAUAUAUAUAUAUAUAUACUUAUAUUUUUAUAUCUUAUGAAAUACAUAUAUAUAUUUUCAUAUUCUUAUAAUUUUAUGUAUAUAUAUACAUAUACAUUUCCCUUAUAUGUACAUGUGUGUCCAUAUUUUAUAAUUUUUAUCUAUAUUCCAUUAUUGUUUUUUUUUUUUUUGUGUUCAUUUAAGUAUUUAUUUAUAUGGCCAUUCUUAUGCUUUAGUUUAUUUAUUUAUUUAUUUGCUAUGACAUAUGCAUGAUCGAUUUAUUUUAUUAUUCACUUUUUUGUUCAUUUUUUAUUCACAUUAUCAUGUUUAUUAUUUCAUUAUGCAUAUAAAUAUCAUAUUUCAAAAAGGGAAAAAUUUUCAAAUAAGGCAAUGUUUCGCAUUUGGAAAUUCGAGAAAAACGUGCCCUAAGGUGCUGGGUGUCAAUUUUUCUCGUUCAAUCCAAUGGCUUAAUAUCCUUUUAAAAAUUUUAAAAUAAGGCAAUGUUUUGCAUUUGGAAAUUCGGGAAAACAUGCCCUGAGGUGCUGGGUGUCGUUUUUUCUCGUUCAACCAAAUAGCCAAAUAUCCUCUUAAAUUUUAAUUCAUGUCAUUCGAGCGUUUUUUUUAAGGAUCGUAUUUUAAAUUCUUCAAAGCUUUCAAUUUUCGACAUUAAGACAUUAAGUAAUCAACUAGGUACCAAUUUUGGACGAAUCGAGGGUGCUAAUCCUUCCUCGUGCGUAACCGACUCCCGAACCCGUUUUUCUGAAUUUUGUGGACCAAAAUCAUUGUUUUAAUAAAAUUAAAUCGUUUAGUAAAAAAAUAACCACUUUUUGAGGUGAUCUGAUCUCACCUUAUCAAAAAGGAUCGGUGGCGACUCCCGUNNNNNNNNNNNNNNNNNNNNNNNNNNNNNNNNNNNNNNNNNNNNNNNNNNNNNNNNNNNNNNNNNNNNNNNNNNNNNNNNNNNNNNNNNNNNNNNNNNNNNNNNNNNNNNNNNNNNNNNNNNNNNNNNNNNNNNNNNNNNNNNNNNNNNNNNNNNNNNNNNNNNNNNNNNNNNNNNNNNNNNNNNNNNNNNNNNNNNNNNNNNNNNNNNNNNNNNNNNNNNNNNNNNNNNNNNNNNNNNNNNNNNNNNNNNNNNNNNNNNNNNNNNNNNNNNNNNNNNNNNNNNNNNNNNNNNNNNNNNNNNNNNNNNNNNNNNNNNNNNNNNNNNNNNNNNNNNNNNNNNNNNNNNNNNNNNNNNNNNNNNNNNNNNNNNNNNNNNNNNNNNNNNNNNNNNNNNNNNNNNNNNNNNNNNNNNNNNNNNNNNNNNNNNNNNNNNNNNNNNNNNNNNNNNNNNNNNNNNNNNNNNNNNNNNNNNNNNNNNNNNNNNNNNNNNNNNNNNNNNNNNNNNNNNNNNNNNNNNNNNNNNNNNNNNNNNNNNNNNNNNNNNNNNNNNNNNNNNNNNNNNNNNNNNNNNNNNNNNNNNNNNNNNNNNNNNNNNNNNNNNNNNNNNNNNNNNNNNNNNNNNNNNNNNNNNNNNNNNNNNNNNNNNNNNNNNNNNNNNNNNNNNNNNNNNNNNNNNNNNNNNNNNNNNNNNNNNNNNNNNNNNNNNNNNNNNNNNNNNNNNNNNNNNNNNNNNNNNNNNNNNNNNNNNNNNNNNNNNNNNNNNNNNNNNNNNNNNNNNNNNNNNNNNNNNNNNNNNNNNNNNNNNNNNNNNNNNNNNNNNNNNNNNNNNNNNNNNNNNNNNNNNNNNNNNNNNNNNNNNNNNNNNNNNNNNNNNNNNNNNNNNNNNNNNNNNNNNNNNNNNNNNNNNNNNNNNNNNNNNNNNNNNNNNNNNNNNNNNNNNNNNNNNNNNNNNNNNNNNNNNNNNNNNNNNNNNNNNNNNNNNNNNNNNNNNNNNNNNNNNNNNNNNNNNNNNNNNNNNNNNNNNNNNNNNNNNNNNNNNNNNNNNNNNNNNNNNNNNNNNNNNNNNNNNNNNNNNNNNNNNNNNNNNNNNNNNNNNNNNNNNNNNNNNNNNNNNNNNNNNNNNNNNNNNNNNNNNNNNNNNNNNNNNNNNNNNNNNNNNNNNNNNNNNNNNNNNNNNNNNNNNNNNNNNNNNNNNNNNNNNNNNNNNNNNNNNNNNNNNNNNNNNNNNNNNNNNNNNNNNNNNNNNNNNNNNNNNNNNNNNNNNNNNNNNNNNNNNNNNNNNNNNNNNNNNNNNNNNNNNNNNNNNNNNNNNNNNNNNNNNNNNNNNNNNNNNNNNNNNNNNNNNNNNNNNNNNNNNNNNNNNNNNNNNNNNNNNNNNNNNNNNNNNNNNNCCCACUUAAGCUAUUGAACCACGAUUUAACAAAUUUUACGCUAUUCGCAGUCCCCUCUAAAUCAGACCCUUACUAAACUGGGAAUAGUGUUUAUUUGUUAAUUUGGAGAGCAAUAGGAUAUCAUAUCGCACUCUUUAGGGUGAGAUUGUCGUGCCCGUUUGAUAAUCCUAUAGGCCCCCCUAUUUUGUUUUUGAUUUUAAUUAUUUUAAUAUUUAUUCCUAGUACACUAUUCACUAUUUCAAAAAUUUUCCUAACUUCACAUUUAACUUAUACUUACUAAAUUUAUAAUAUUUUCUACUCGUUUGUCAGAUUUAGUGAUCUCGAAUCAUCAUUCCGACACCACUAAAAAUUCAGGUUAUUACAUAUAUGGUUGUGCAUUAUGAAAGAAAAAACGUAACAUGUUUUCUUAUCAUUGUAGAAUUUGGUGGUGUUCUUUUUCCAUUGACAUCAAAUGUGCUCAAUUAUCUUCUUCAUUUAAGUUUAGCCAACUGUCCAAACAUGACAUCCACAAACAUCCAUUGACCUUCAUAGAAAGUCCCAUGGCCAUAGAUGUACUCAAAAAAUUGAACUGCUGCUGGUGUCAUGAACCAUUGACAGAUGCUAUAUAUCUUUGUCCUGACUGUUGAGUUUAGUUUCCAUGCAAAGGUGGCCAUCCACGACAUGCAAAGGUGGCCAUGCAGGAAGAAAUGGCAGCAGGCAAUCGAGCCAUGGUGUGCAGCAGCUGAAGCUUCAAGUUACCGAACUACUUGUUGUUUUAGUUUUAUUUUAAUCAUUUUGUAAUCUAGUUCAUAUUGAACUAAGUAAGUGAAUGUUUUGGUGUAAUUUUGAUGUUGAUUGACUGAAAAAUCAGCAAUGCAAUGUGUGCAAGCAAUCCUGUAAGUUUCAAUGCAUAUUAGUGGUGUUAGGUAAUUGAUUAGGUGUUUACUUGUUCAUUUGACAAGUUGACUAAUAUAUGUAAUGGCUUAAUGCCUUGUUUAAUAAUUAAUGAAAAACUCAGCUUGUUUUUCAUUCAAACUCUCUUUGUUUUUCUGUUUUUCCACUUGCAAGCUUCAUUUUUGUUUUUCUUCUGAGAUUGUUUCUUCUGCAAGGCUCGAGGCUUGCUGUAUAAGCAAGCUUAAAUCAGUUUGCUGUUGCCUCUUUGCACCAACACUGGCUGUCCAUCAUUCAUCAUUCACAAGAAAUGCCUUGAUGAGUUACCCACUGAAAUUGAUCACCCUACACAUCGCUUACACCCUCUUAUUCUUAACCGUAGUGAUAGUGAUUACUUGUGCAACCUAUGCCAAAAGCAACAUUCUGGACCUUUUUACAGUUGUUCUCUUUGCCAUUUUAACAUCAAUGUUAAAUGUGCUUGGCCGAGGUCUACUGUUGAAGAUAAAAGCUGCCAUCAGCACCUAUUCUCCUUACUUUGGAGACAAGGUUCAUUCAUUUGUGAUGCAUGUGGCACUGAGGGAAAUUAUAUUUCUUGUAUAUGUUUGAAAUGUUGCAUCGAAGUCCACAAGAAAUGCACUUCACUCCCUCACAUUAUCAAAUUUUCUCGACAUGAUCACUGCAUUUUUCACAAACAUUUUCUUCAAACACGAGAGCUUACAAGGCAAGAUUGCAAGAUUUGUUUUAGUGAAGUAAAACUAGAUCGUGGGAGUUACUCUUGUAGGAAGCCAGGUUGCAAUUACGUUGUCUAUGUGAAUUGUGUCUUAGAGGAUUAUACGUUGUACGAGGUAAUUGAGGACGAAAAGCAAUUUGAGGAGCUUGAAGAAAAAUCUAUACAGUCUUCCAUCAUUCGUGUUAUUGAGGUGAAUGAAGCUGGGGAAGCUACAAAGAUUCAACAUUUCAGUCAUCAACAUUGCUUGGUGUUAGCAGACAAGAUGGAGGAAGAAAUUGAUAGAAAAUGUGAAGGGUGCAUGCUACCUAUCUCAAAUAUUUUCUAUUGUUGUUCAGAAUGCCCCUUUUUCUUCAUAAAACCUGUGCUGAAUUGCCAAGAAUCAAGCAACAUUGGUUUCAUCAAAGCAAUGCCACCCUCAAGUAUUUCGACAGAUACAAAUGGUGUAACUUUCGCCGUCGAGUUUGUACUGGUUUGUUAUACGACAUUAGAGGAUACUGGAACAUGUGCUUAAGGUGUGCUAAAGUUUCUGAUAUCAUUGAAUGUAAGGGACACCAACACUUUCUCUUUUUUUAUUUCGAAUGCAAGGAGAAAUGUAAUGGUUGUGGCACUAAUAGCAUCAGCAAUGGUGCAUUCAGAUGUGGGAAGUGCAGAUUUGCUUUGGAUUUUGGAUGCUUGACAUUACCACAUUCAGCUCUUCACAAAAUUGAUGAACACAAGCUAAAGCUUACUUAUCAUGAUGAUAAUGAGCAAAGUUAUUGUGAUUUUUGUAAGCAAUAUAGAGAUCCAAGCCUUUGGUAUUAUUCUUGUUCAAUCUGUGAUGCUUCUGCUCAUAUCAAAUGUGUUCUUGGGCGAUUUCCAUUUAUCAAAGAUGGGGGCACAUUUCCUUUUUUUUUCUUUAUUUACAAAAUCAUCAUCAUGAUCUUAAAGUUUUUAGGAAGGUCGAGGGCUACCCUGAAUGCUCUUAUUGUGGUAAGCUUUGCCGAGAAGAAAUUCUCAAGUGUGAAAAGUCUACAUGCAACUAUAUUAUCCACUAUGAAUGCUAUUAGGGUGACUAAGCCUAAAGCGUUGUGGUAAGUACUCUAAAUGAUUAAAAAAUUAUUUUUCAAUCAUCAAAGUUGUUGAUUGAUAGUAUUUCAUGAUUUUGUUUUCAUUAUCAACAUCAGUUCUAAUUGUGUUCAUGGUUGUAGAUGUGAUUUAUUCAAAUGAAAAGCACCAAAAUAUUUAUUUGAUCAAAGAAGUUCACAAAGGAUUUGGAAUUUCAUUCCUACUUCAUUGAUGAAAGGAUGCUCGAAUUCUAAGUGUGAUUUGGUUUCAUUGUUACUUUGUUUAAGAUCGACUUGGAUUUGUAUGAUUUGAUUUCAAUAUUACUUUGGGAUUCAUCUAUGAUUUGUUUGGAUUUGUAAGAUUUGAAUUAUUUCUUAUUUAAAUUAUUUUAAUUAAUUUAAUUAUUCUCAACAGUAUUGAUUUAUGGGUUUUAGAAGCCACUAAUUUCUGGAAUGGACUUCCUACUUUUCGGCUUGGGUUGUAAUGUAGAGUUGUAAUGUUUUGGGAUAAAUUUAUCAUUUAAUAAAAAACAUGAAUGUGGUAGGGAGUUGACUACAUUCCGUGAUCAAUCAUCUAUCAUUUUAGAUAGUACUCGUGACAAGAUAAUUAAUUAUUGUUGUUACGCUCAUGAUGAAUAUCUUAAUUUCUUUAAAUAAUUUUAACAAAUAUGAAAAUUUCUGAUUUUUAUUGAAAUAAUUAGUUUCUCAAAAGCCUACAUUCUAUUAUUUUUUGUAUUAAUCUGAAUAAUGAUUUUAAGUAUGGUUAAUAUUGGACUAAUAAAUAUGGUUUUGAAUGUUUUAUAAAACUUAUAAAGUAGUUAAGUAUUUUCUUAGAAAUUUUGAAAUGAAUUUUUGGACUAUUUCAAAACUUAAGUAUCUUAAAUAAUUAAAUUAUAAUUAUAAAUAAUGAUAAUUUUUUAAUUAUUUUUUAAGUUCUUUUUAUUGUGCAUGUUUAGGAUUCGUGAUUAGAUUGAAUUGAAAUUUUAUAUAUAUAUAUAUUAUUUUUUAUAAAUUUUUAAUCAUUUAUUUAAUGAAACCAAAUGAAUUGGUGGUUUGAUUAAUUGGAUCAUUAGUCCGAUUUUGCAAACUUUAGUGGCAUAAUAGGUUAGACUUUUUCAAAUUUUGUUCUUUGUUUGUGACAUCUACCUCGCCCUCUAAAUUAAAAUUUUAAUAAUAAACUUAAUAUUUUUUAUUUAUAUUUAUUUAUAUAAAUAUUUUUUGAGUUUUUUGUAAUGGUAAAAUGUAUUAAAUCUUUCAAAAUUGCCGUAUAAAAAUAUUUUUUUAUAAAAUGCUCAAAUAAAAGUUAUUAAGUUUUAAUUCUUUGAUAUCUUUUCAAGUAGUAUUUGAUUUAAUUAUCAUUUACUCUUUUAACAUUUAUUGGACAAUUUUAAAGAAUAAUUUUUUUAUGUGAAUAAUCAAAAGUUUAAUCUUAAUUUCAUUAUGUAAUUUUAUCAAAAAUAUUUUAAAAAAUUAUAUAUAACAAUAGAAAUAGAGAAUGAUAGAAAAUCAGCACCCAUUUCUAAAUUAUAUACAAAUAUUUAACGGCAAUGAUUAUUUCACCUAAUUAUAGUAAUUAGAAUAACUAAAUUGAAAAAAAGAAUUAGAGUGAUCAAAACAGGACAAAUUUUAUUUUAAAGUGACUAUUUUAUAUUGUUUAGAUUUUGAUUCACAUUUAAAAUUAUUUUACAGAAAAAAAAACUGAACAAUGGAAUGCAAACAAAAAAGUUGUACAGUAAUAGUUUUGACACAAACAUUUUGAAUAAUUAAGUGACUUAAAUGAAAACUUUAGAAUAAUUCCAUAAUCAUUUUAUAAUUUUUUAAAGUUGAAAGGUCUAAAUUGACUAAUAAUUAAUAAAUUUCAACCUACUUUCCCCUAAAAAAUGAUUUAUAUAUAAUAAUAGAAAAUCAUGGGUAAUUUCUAUACCUAUUAUUAUCAAAUGAUUAAAUUAUAGCUCUCAUGGUCAAUAAUUUUAGAAUUGGAUCAAAUCAAUCACCAAUUCUUAAUUUCAUCAAAUCUAUCAAUACAAUUCAUAUAUAUAUAUAUAUAUAUAUAUAUAUAUAUAUAUAUAUGAAAAGCAUGUAUGAGGAAAUGCAUAUAUACAACAAAAUCAUAACUAUAGUUCAAAGGUGUGAUUCUUGAUUAUAUUAAGGUUUACUAUCAAUUAUUUUGUCAUAUUCUUGUUUCUUAUUUCAACCCCACAUCCCUGUUUGAAUAUAUAUAUAUAUAUAUAUAUAUAUAUAUAUAUAAUACAAUAAAAAUAAAUAAAUCAAUAAAUUUUAAGUAUAAGAACAAAAACUUGAAUAGCACCAUGUAUUUUAAUACUGUUAGUCAGGUUCUCUCAUUUUGAUCUCUCGUUUAGUCAUAUCCGACGAUCAUAAACCACUCAUAUAUAUUGAAUAUAUGAAUACAAUUCACAUAACUUAAGAGCACAAUGAAUGAAACAUAUUCAUAUCCAACAUAUCGAAUAUUCGACGCUCACUCCCUAAUACAGAGCUACUAACAUUUAACAUAGGAUUACACGGAGAGAGUUGCAUGAUUACACAAAGAUAAAAGAAGAUCUCACAAGUCUCCAAUGAAAGGAUGCGAUAAUCCGACGACUCUCUAGAUACAUGAAAAUCUACUUGCUCUCAGAAUACAAAUGCUUAAAGCUACUAGCUAUCCCCUCUAAAUCACACCCUUACUAAACUGGGAAUAUAACCUCACCAAGCACAACUCCAUUUGGAAGAUAACGAUUGUCACCGGUUCCAACAUCAAACAGCCUGGAAUCUCAUGUUGCCAGCUUUCAACACUGCAUGUUAAACAAUGCCGGAAUUCGACUCGUUCGCCUCUUCCAUUUGACUAAGCUUUUCUCCUGCUAGCAUCAAACCUCAAAAGCACAUUUUUCUACUUAUUCUAUGUUAACAUCUUUAUUGUUCAGACAAACUAAUUCCAGGAUUGAAACUAACGGAUCCUCAGGACGAGCUUCUGUGUUUAUCCAAUCCGAUCCAAUUUCUUCAAAGUUAGGAAAACAUUAGAAAAACAUUUUCCUCAAUACAGUCCAAACAAAACUCCUAGAUAUGUUGUUAUAAACAGUUUAGAUAUUAAGAAUGGUUUUGCAGUCAUCAAAGUAUUAGCAAGAAUGAAAGCCUAAAGAUUUUUCUUAUAAAAAAUUGCCAACUUAAUAUGUCAAAUUUCUGAGCGGAACAAUGUCAGGCAGCAAUAGACACUAGCUUUUCUUAAGCAUUUUAUCAAAUAGUUUCUAUGCGCAAUCAGGCUUCAAGCCAACUUGGCCGCAAGAUAAUGUCUGCCUCACGCUUCCACAAGUAUCGCUUCCAGGUGACACAACACAUUCCCAGGUUGAUACAGAUGCAGCAGAGCCACCCGAGACAGGUUCACUGUUUAUCACCUAUUCAAACUAAUAAAUAUAUUACAUUUUUAGAGCAAUAAAAACGAACUUUUUAGAGCAAUAAAGAAGAAGCUAAGAACUUCUUCCUAAGAAGCUAAGAACUUUUCGAACCGGUCAAAUUCGGUUAGUCGGUUUGACAUUUUUAGAGCAAUGAAAUAAGUUAUAUGGCUGGCAAUUUAAAUAGGAUGCUGGAAGUCAUUAAUCAGAGAACCAAUCAGAUAACCAAAUUUUAUGCUUUAUGCUCUCAACUCUCAAACCAACUGUAGAAAAGUAUUAUCUGACACUUCAGCACAACUAUCUAACCCUUGAUCGUGUUCUUGCUGGUGCUUCAAGAGCCGGCCUAGAGGGACUAGUUGGUGCAGCCUGCAAGAUUCAAAUAUCAGAAACAAUUUAUUUAUAACCGUAGUGAAAUCUUGAAACCAAAGAAAGAAAGAGAGAUAAAGGAGAAGAUAUGGUUCAUUGCAGUCCAUGAUUAUCCAGUAGAUGAGAGAUUUGACCAUUACUCUUGGAGGCUUGUCUUUAGAAGAAAUCUUCGAUUGGGAAGAGAUGCUUAAUGAUCUCCUAGACACACCAUCUCUAUUCACGAGCUGGUCUCCUAGAGAGCCGAUAAAAUCAUUUGGCAGCUUGAUGACUAAAGCAAUUUUGUAAGGAAUCAUCUUGGUGGUCAAAUCUUGGUGGUAUAAUCAUUUUGGACCGCCUCGGAUGUUAGUUGGGUAAAGUAUAACCCGGACUCACUUUGCAGUGGCUACCUUGCAAGACUCAUCUGAAGCAGCUUCUCCGCUUGAUCUGGGAACAAAGUUAUAAACAGAUACGCGCCUGCGCCAUUUCAUGAGGUUAGAUUAAAAGAGAAAAAGGACUUCAACGGAAGUUUUUUAUGGCUAUUGAAUCACUAACAAAUGUGUGCAGUUCCAAGCACGGUUGAAUUCUUGCCUUGAAUUGUGACCAAACCAGCUUUGCCAGCAUCUUGCAACUUAGUUGUACCUGCAGAAUCAAACGUACCUGCAAACACAAGAACUAUUUCAUGCUUUGCUCCCUGCAUACAUCACAACCACGGUCAUUACAACAGCAAGCAGUUGAUGUUUAACCUGGUUUUACAGUUUGAAGCCCUGGUGUUAUACAUGCUAUUCUGAAAACCAGCUUGCUCCAAUUUAUUGGCUGCAGAAGUCCAUCUUUUCAUUAAGCAUGUGGGACACCCAUGUCCAAUGCAUACUCAACAGAGUAAAACAGACUGAACCCAUAAAACCACUUUUAAGUUGCAAAUUAAGUGAGCAUAAUCCAUGAAGCUAAUUGUACAAAUGCAAAGUAAACAGGGAAGGAACCCGACCUCCAAAAUUGCACAAGAAAAUCAGGAUAAAAUGAGUGAACCAUUUGUCGAUUUUCCCAUCAUGCUAAUAAUUUAUGCCGUAUGUUGGUUUCUAUAAUAAAGGGUUGUAUUUAAUGAAGUAAUAAUCCACAUGUAGAUCAAGUUACAAACCUGCAUCUGAUGACCAUGCAAUUCUGAUUCAUUUAACAGUAGAGCACUUUGAACAGCAUCAACUUCAACCGAUUCAACAUAGGAAAAUCCUUUAGGUUGACCAAACUUGUCUGUCAAAAUUGUUACCCUGAGCACAAGAUUGGAAUUGCUGGUGAACUUCCUCAGGUGUACGUGCAUAGUCUACCUGAUGUUACAAAGACAUAUAAAGAAAUAGAGAGUAAGAGAGAUGUACAAAACAUUGAGAUCAUUUAUUAAUUGUACACCUAAACAGUGCCAAACUAAAUUAAUGUUUCCCCUGAAUAAGUUGUUAACUACAUAUGGGUGAAAUUAGUUCACAUUGAACUCGCCAUCUGUAAUAACUAAGAUUUAAUUGUUCAUGCACAUGCACAUGGACAAAACAGAGCAUUUCAAGCCACACGUACACAAGCAUAAAACCAAAUUGGGUUGAAGGGAUCAAACUGGUAGAACUACUCCUACAUCCUUUGGCCAAACUAAAAAGCAUGAUCCUAAUUUUAUUUGAAUAAAGAAGGAUAUCAAAAAAAUUAUAGAGAACAAGAUCUCAAAAACAUCCUGACAAAGCAAAUUCCAAGCACCAGCAGGAGGGGAAACAAAAAUUUGCAGCUCGAAACCCAUGUUAGCGCCCUGUUUUGCCAGCCACUUGAUUCGCACUCCAAGGGAGAUGGACAAUGCAAAUAUCCCAACCAGUUGAUUCUUAAUUUCGGCAAGAACACUCCAAAAAACAAUAUGUACAAUUCAACAACAAAAUUUAGCAAAAACAUGGCGAUAACCCAGUGAUUAAGGUAUUAGUCUUCCAGUGAUAAAGCAGGCUCCUCCUGACUCUUCUGCUUCGGGUAUGUCUGAAGGCUUCUAGUUUCCUUAUUAGUAUCAUCUUCUGUGGUACAUUUCUAUUCCAUGCAGUUAAUUGUUCUCGUUAAGUUUUUGUUGCUAUUUCGUUGUCAAAUCUCUUGAUUGUUCAAUUUGUGCCUUUGUUCCACCUUUCUGUGAUUCACAUGGUGUGUUUUUCUCUUUAUGAAAGUUGUUGGGGAAAUUUGCACGUGUUUAUUCUUGAUUUGAUUGUGACGACAAAACCAAGAUUGUAAGCUUGAUCCGAAUAUACUUAUAUCAUCUGUCUGUCAAUGUAGAAUGGGUAAAUAUUUUCAAAUGGGAAAUCUGAAUAUAAGAAAGUUCCAUUUUGUUAGGGCAAAACCAAGGUGAUAUGUUGAAGCAAUGAGCUGGGUAUGUCGGUGUGUCCUUUUCUGAAGAUCUUGAGAGAUCUUGGUCAGUGACAUUGCCUAAGCCUGACUAUUCUGCUGUCCCGCCCCCCACCCCAAACAAAAAAAAUGCAUAGAGCUUGCAUUAUUGCUGUUCCCAUCAUUUGGUUAAACUCUCAGCUCAAUCAGUUUUACUGUGAAGUUGUCUUUUCCACUUGGCCUAUAUCCUCAAAGGUUAUAAAUGCUACAGUUAGCUAUACAUCAAGCGAGAACCUGUUUAUGGCAAUGGUUGGGAUGCAUUUAUCGAGUGUCAAGUUCCCCAUCAAAGACAUCUCUGCCACCUUCUGCAGCCCCAACUUGACUUCAGAAUCACUUCUCCGUAACAUUAUCAACAAAGCUUGUGAUCACAGUUUGGCUAUGAUGACAAACUGUUUAAUAUUCAUGAAGCCUGUUGCUACCAGAUCCGAGGGAGAAAUGUUCUGCUGUGGCUGAGGAUUUCCAGUAAGAUGCAGUGUGAGAAAAAGAACAGGCAAUGGUUCUUUUAUAGAGUUCACGAUUGACCUCACCCCAUCAAACAAACUGAGAAAAUCGACCCAAUAUCGCCAUUUACAAGAAUGGGUGCUGCUUACUAUACCCUCAAGGCUAGAAUUCUAGGAUCUCUGAUCAACGAUGACUUGUAAGAGUUAAAAUUACAUUGGC
rnacentral:lncRNA from 1 species